CUUGCUUUGUCAGACAUUGGAUUUUUUGGGCUUUACUCUUGAGGCAGUAAAGGAAUUGGAGUAAUUGGAGUUUUAUCGAGAAAGUUGGGAUCAAAGUUGGGAAUUAGUGACUGAAUUAUUUCAAUAAAAUUUCCCUCUCUGCUCUAAUUGCCUCCAAAACCGUUUCCUUUGCCCUAGCCUUUAUCCUUUUGGUUUCUUCUCUCACUGCCUCCAUAACACUUUCCUUCAAUUUGUCAGCAAAUUUUACUCUGUGCUGUGUCUGCAAAUUGAAUAAUUGAGUUGGGGAAACCCCAGCUCCAACACCUCUGACUCUCCCACCAGACUCAAGGGUUCCCAAAGCGAAGGUCAAAAUAUUGUUGCUCCCAAAGACAGUCAGAG
rnacentral:lncRNA from 1 species